rnacentral:lncRNA from 1 species
AAUUCAUUGAGAUGCGGGGUUAGGUUGGAUUGAGAGAUUGGUUAUAGAAAUCCGAGAGUGGAACACUUUCUGUUUUACACCUCUGGCAUGUCUCACAUUUUGGCACUCAUUCCACUAUAUUUUCUUUCAUAGCAGACUUACCAUGGUGAUGAAACAUUCUACAGAAUAUAUAUAACCUACAAAAAUUAGAAAAAUCACAAAAAUCCCUGAAUGGGUUGGGUCCUUAUCUCAUGAUUUGGGGAGCUGCUCAAUAAAAUUCAUUGAGAUGCGGGGUUAGGUUGGAUUUGAGAGAGUGGUUAUAGAAAUCCGAGAGUGGAACACUUUCUGUUUUACACCUCUGGCAUGUCUCACAUUUUUGCACUCAUUCCACUACAUUUUCUUUCAUAGCAGGCUAGAAAAUUGUUAUUUGAGGAGUUCGUAAGCGUUUUGAUUCUCGAAUGAUCUCAUAACUCUAUGUCAUGGCACCUUUGGAUUAGUUUCUCCUAAUUCUCCCGAUGUUUUAAUGACCAACCUAAUCCUUGUAUCUCAAUAUUCUUGCUUUGAGUUGAUAGCAUGUUAGGCC